CAGAGCUGCCCUAGAGCCAGCAGGGCCGUGCCUCCACACGCCAGGGCCUGGGGCCAUGCCUGCAUGCUGACAUCUACAAAGCUCCAAUGUUGUAUAAAAGCGUGGCUCCAAAUCAAGCACGGAGCUGUGCUCUGUCAGAAGACAGCUGUGGUGCUGCCCCUGUGCCAGGAGGCCCCGCAGCCUGAGUCCGUCACUGCUCCGGGGUGAGCGCCGUCCAGCACCGCACAGCAGAGCUGUAAUUGCACUGUUCCCAAUACACUUCUUUAAAAGCU